AAGGAUAGUCAGUAGUGCUGUCAAACGAUUAAAAUAUUUAAUCGCGAUUAAUCGCAUUAAUGUCAUAGUUAACUCGCAAUUAAUCGCACAUUUUUAUCUAUUCUAAAUGUCCCUUGAUUUCUUUUAGUCCCAUUAUUUUUUUCUCAUUUUAAUGCUCUUAUCAACAUGGAAAAGUGGAUCGGCUUGCUUUGUGCAAAUGUUUUUUUUAUUAAAAACAACAUUGGCAUAUACUGUAGUGUUCAAUUUCACACUAACAUUCACACUUGGAGCAGUCAUUCACACUUGGAGCAAAUAAUCUCUCACACAAUGUAACGGCUUUG